rnacentral:rRNA from 1 species
CCCUUAGAUGUUCUGGGCCGCACGCGUGCUACACUGAACGGUUCAAUGGGUAAGGUAGUGCGAAAGCAUGACCUAAUCUCGAAAUCCGUUCGUGCUGGGGAUAGAAGCUUGCAAUUAUCCUUCUUGAACGAGGAAUACCUUGUAAGCGUGAGUCGUCAUCUCACGCUGAAUACGUCCCUGCCCUUUGUACACACCGCCCGUCGCUCCUACCGAUUGAGUGUUCCGGUGAGGCUUUGGGAGAAUGGCCUCAACAUGAGUUUAUCGUGUUUUGCCGUUUGAACUUAGUCAAACCUUAUCACUUAGAGGAAGGAGAAGUCGUAACA